UUUCCGUAGGUGAACCUGCGGAAGGAUCAUUUCCGAACAAACUCUUUACAAACCAACCAUGUGAACUGUUUUGGGUUUUUACUCUCCUACUGUACACACACAACAUAUACUCGGAUGUGUAGAUUUUCACAGCGGUAGUUGAUAGGGGUAUUGCCUGUGCGUGUCCUUGCGACCGCAUAGCCAUAUUCCUGACUGCUUGAAAUUCUAUAUACCAAAACAUCCGAUGUGUAUGGUACUUGGGGAGAGGCCAUUAUGAACUACCUUGUCACAAAGGUUGAUUACUAUCGUUUUUCUUUUUUAAAAACAAAAAAACAAAUGAUAUGACAACUUUUAACGGUGGAUCUCUUGGCUCGU
rnacentral:misc_RNA from 1 species